rnacentral:rRNA from 1 species
AUUGAACGCUGGCGGCAUGCCUUACACAUGCAAGUCGAACGGUAACAGGUCUUCGGAUGCUGACGAGUGGCGAACGGGUGAGUAAUACAUCGGAACGUGCCUAGUAGUGGGGGAUAACUACUCGAAGGAGUGGCUAAUACCGCAUGAGAUCUACGGAUGAAAGCAGGGGAUCGCAAGACCUUGUGCUACUAGAGCGGCCGAUGGCAGAUUAGGUAGUUGGUGGGAUAAAAGCUUACCAAGCCGACGAUCUGUAGCUGGUCUGAGAGGACGAUCAGCCACACUGGGACUGAGACACGGCCCAGACUCCUACGGGAGGCAGCAGUGGGGAAUUUUGGACAAUGGGCGCAAGCCUGAUCCAGCAAUGCCGCGUGCAGGAUGAAGGCCUUCGGGUUGUAAACUGCUUUUGUACGGAACGAAAGCCCUGGGUUAAUACCCUGGGGUCAUGACGGUACCGUAAGAAUAAGCACCGGCUAACUACGUGCCAGCAGCCGCCGUAAUAC